rnacentral:rRNA from 1 species
UGGGGAAUAUUGCACAAUGGGCGCAAGCCUGAUGCAGCCAUGCCGCGUGUGAAGAAGGCCUUCGGGUUGUAAAGCACUUUCAGCGAGGAGGAAGGUGGUGAGCUUAAUACGCUCAUCAAUUGACGUUACUCGCAGAAGAAGCACCGGCUAACUCCGUGCCAGCAGCCGCGGUAAUACGGAGGGUGCAAGCGUUAAUCGGAAUUACUGGGCGUAAAGCGCACGCAGGCGGUUUGUUAAGUCAGAUGUGAAAUCCCCGGGCUCAACCUGGGAACUGCAUUUGAAACUGGCAAGCUAGAGUCUCGUAGAGGGGGGUAGAAUUCCAGGUGCAGCGGUGAAAUGCGUAGAGAUCUGGAGGAAUACCGGUGGCGAAGGCGGCCCCCUGGACGAAGACUGACGCUCAGGUGCGAAAAGCGUGGGGAGCAAAACAGGAUUAGAUACCCUGGUAGUCCACGCUGUAAAACGAUGUCGAUUUUGGAGGUUGUGCCCUUGAGGCGUGGCUUCCGGAGCUAACGCGUUAAAUCGACCGCCUGGGGAGUACGGCCGCAAGGUU